UUUUUCUGUUGUUCAAAUACUCUUUUAAAUUUUUUUUUUUUUUUUUUUUUUGUCUUUUGUCCUUUCAGGGCCAUACCCAGGGCAUAUGUAGGUUUCCAGGUUAGGGGUCUAAUCAGAGCUGUUGCUGCCAACCUACGCCACAGCCACAGCAAUGCAGGAUCCUAGUUGUGUCUGCAACCUACCCCACAGCUUACGGCAACACCAGAUCCUUAACCCACUGAGCAAGGCCAGGGAUUAAACCCGCAACCUCACGGUUCCUAGUCGGAUUCGUUUCUGCUGUGUCACGACAGGAACUCCCUUAAAAAAAUUUUAUUAUAGUUAAUUUACAACAUUUUGCCACUUUCUGUUGUAUAGCAAUCAAUGUGACCCAGAAUAUAUAUAUAUAUAUAUAUUCUUUUUCUUGUGUUAUUUUCUGUUGUAUAGCAAUGAGACCCAGAAUAUAAAUAUAUAUAUAUAUAUUAUAUCAUAAUCUAUCCCAAAAAAUUGGGUAUAGUUCCGUGUGUUAUAUGUAGGAUCUCAUUGGUUAUCCAUUCUAAAUGAAACAGUUUGCAUCUACAAAACCCAAACUCUCAUUCAUCCAAUUUCAUUUCCGCCCUCCUCCUUGGCAACCACAAGUCUGUUCUCUCUGUGAGUCUGUUUCUGUUUUGUAAGGAGGUUCAUUUGCACCAUGUUUUCAAUUCCACAUAUAAGUAUCACCAUAUGGUAUUUGUCUUUCUCUUUCUGACUUACUUAGUAUGACAAUCUCUAGUUGUAUUCAUGUUGUUGCAAGUGGCGUUAUUUCAUUCUUUUCUAUGGGCUGAGUAGUAGUAUAUGUACCACAUAUAUUGAGUGUAUAUGUACCACAUCUUCUUAAUCCAUUCAUCUCUCGAUGGACAUUUAGGUUGUUUCCAUGUCUUGGCUAUUGUGAAUAGUGCUGCAAUGAACAUAGCUUGCAUGUAUCUUUUUGAAUUACAGUUUUGUUCAGAUACAUGCCUGGAAGUAGGAUCGUAUUGUAGUUCUAUAUUUAGUUUUCCACAGAACCUCCAUACUGUUUUCCAUAGUGGUUGUACUCAAAUAUUCUUUAAUAAAUCAGAACUGUAUUUAGAAACUUAGAGUAUCAAUGAUAUUGUAAACAUUCUCUAUAUACAUUAAAUCUGUUAACACCUACUGCAGAUCAUUGUAUUGUGCUAAGAGACUGUGGCAGUGAAAAUGCAACAGUAGACAUGGAAAUAACUUCUGAUUUUAUGGAGUAUUCUGAGAAAAGAGGCACAUGGUGUAAAGUUUGCAAUUUUAAGUAAAGUAGAAACAAAAGCACAAAGUCAUGGGGACUGAUAUCAGAUCUGAAAGCCAGGAAGGCUUCUCAGAGGAGGUGACAUAUAAGCUUUAUAUAAAAAAGGCCACAGCCCCAUCUGGUGGAACAGUGGGAGAAGGUUUUCUCAACAGUGGGCAUCACAAUUUAUACUAGAACCCCAGCAUCUAGUAAAAGUAAUGAAGUCAAGCUUCAGUGCCUACCUUUCCUUGCUUCUCUACCAAUUUUGUAUUUCCCAUCUUUCUCAGCCUGCUUUAGCCACUGUUAAUCUAGGAGCCAGAUAAUCCACUUUUUAUAGCCCACCUCAGAUUAUUCCUGCUUUUAGAAGAAAGAAUCCUCUUAAUCAUUACACCCUAGUGGGAAUUAGGGCCUCCAAAUUACCUCUUCUACUACCUACCCUCUGGUGUUGAAAUAAAAGGCAUACCCAUAAUUAGAGUAAUUUUGAGUAUUAUACAAGCAAGUAGGAAAGUUUUGCCAAGACAUGAGGGCAGAGCUACCAAAAUUAUACCAUAUACUUAAUGACUGUGUCUCUAUUUAUUUGAGAAAUCACCUGCUAUUACAGGUAAUUUUGACAUACUACCUGUUAUUUCGAAAAUCAAAAAAUCAAGGGAUGCAUCUAAAUUUACCUUUUUAAAGAUUUACUGCUAGCAAUCUCUUUCUAGGAAAAAAGUUAAUUUUGAGAAGUGUUAUGAAAAUCCUGCACAAAAUCCACCAUGGGUUAAAAAAAAUGAAGACUUAAAUACAGGAAAUAAUCUUUGUUAAAUAUGUCUUUUAGGGAGAUCCACUAUGUCCCAAUCCUUAAAUUAGAAAGUCAGCAAAAAGAUGAACUGAAUCCCAGAUGUUAAUUGCACAGGCUUACUGGAUUAGAACUGGAGAUAAUUAAUUGCUCAAUUUUAAUAUGCAUUGGACUAAAUGGAUGAUAAGAUUUCCAGUAGUUGGUUUUGAGGUCCAGAAGGGAAAGAUGAUUUCUUUACAGGUCUAGGAGUCCUAGGGGCCAAAGACAUUUAAAAUGUCUGUAUUCAGUGAGUAAGAAGUUGGGUAAAUAGUAGAAGAGGUUAGGGAAUGGGAUUAAUUUCCAGAAAGAGAGUACAGAAAUUCAACUUCAAAUAGCUUUUUCUCAUUUGGAAUUAGAAUAUAACAUUGUAUGAGAAGGAAGGUUUUAAUGGAUUUUAAUUUUUAUUGCACUUUCAAUGAUUAGCAUUCCUGUCCUAUAAUGUCAACAUUAAAUCCAGACAGAUACAAAGCCAUUACUUCCUAUCUGAAGGAAACAAACAAACAAAAGACACUGUUCAUUGCUUAGAUAAUUAGACUUUUUAUGUUCUUAAGAAAUCAGGAGCAAGCUACGGGUUAAUUGGGAAAAUUGUGAAUUAUGCCUAAAUUGUAUCCCCCCCUUUUGUGUUUUAAUUCAACUUGUAACAAAGCAAAUGAUGAAGAACAGAUCAUUUGCCAAUGCUGAGUAUCCAGACAAUACUCAGGAAUUUACAUCAGCAGAUUCCAUUAAAAAGUUGGCUGCAAAGGUAGAUGAUAAAGGUGGGGAAGAGGCAGCAGUGUAGAGACCCCAAAAAAGUCUGUUGUUCCCUACACAACAUUCAGGCUGUUGAAACAGGAAGCAAGACCACCAACUCUAGGUUCAUUAUGCUGAUCCCUUAGAAUACACGUAAGGCUGCCUAGACAGAUAUCUUAGAAAUCAGCUAUGUUUCUGCAUCAGAAUCACCCGUGGGGCUUAUUAAGAAGAU
rnacentral:lncRNA from 1 species